rnacentral:rRNA from 1 species
AUUGAACGCUGGCGGCAGGCCUAACACAUGCAAGUCGAACGAGCGGCGGACGGGGGAGUAAUGUCUGGGAAACUGCCCGAUGGAGGGGGAUAAUUACUGGAAACGGUAGCUAAUACCGCAUACCAUCAGAUGUGCCCAGAUGUGAUUAGCUAGUAGGUGGGGUAAUGGCUCACCUAGGCUACGAUCCCUAGCUGGUCUGAGAGGAUGACCAGCCACACGGGAACGGAGACACGGUCCAGACUCCUACGGGAGGCAGCAGUGGGGAAUAUUGCACAAUGGGCGCAAGCCUGAUGUAGCCAUGCCGCAUGUAUGAAGAAGGACUUCGGGUUGUAAAGGACUUUCAGCAGGGAGGCGUUACCCGCAGAAGAAGCACCGGCUAACUCCGUGCCAGCAGCCGCGGUAAUUC